UAACCAUUAGCAACCAUGUCCAUUAGCAAGAUUAGCAUGUUUACAGCCAAUUAUGUCACUAUGAUGAUGGAAAAUUCACCAACGUAUUUAAAGCAUUGGGACAAGUGCAAUAAAACGUUUGGAACACCCAGACACUGAGUCUGUUUCACUUGUUCAUCUGAACGGCUGAAAAUGUCUAACCCUAACCCUAACCCAGUCAGGAUCAGUGGCGUAAGAAGACACGAUACCUAGGAAAUGAGGCGCCAGCAUCACCUUACUAUGCAUUCGACACUGAAGCAAACACAAUUUGAUCCCCAGAUGAUCAUGUUUC